ensembl:lncRNA
GCUGAAUUGUAAUCCCCAGUGUUGAAGGUGGGGCCUUGUGUGAAGUGACUGGAUCACGGGAGUGGAGUUCCACUGAAUGGGUUGGCUCAUUCCCUGUGUGCUGAUAGUGAGUGAGUUAUCACGAGAUCUGGGCAUUGAAAUGUCUGUAGCCCCUCCUUACUCUCUCUCUUGCUUCUGCUCCUGUCAUGUAAAAUGCCUGCUCCUGCUAUGCCUUCGCCUAUGAGCUUCCCAAAGCCAACCCAGAAGCAAAUGCUGCUAUGAUUCCUGUACAGCCUGUGGAACUCUCCAUGAUGUCAGUUCCAGCAUCUUCAUCCAUCACCUCAUGGUCACAGAAAAGCUGCAUAGCUCCAGGUACUACAUCUGCAUUUAAAGCAAGGAAAGAAGUGAGAAGUGGUAGCCUGACAUACCUGGGCGUUUUAAUCAGAAACAGAAAAGCUUUUCUGGAAACAAUGUUAGUAGACCUCUCAACUUCCAUUGGCAGAACUGAGACUGAGAAGACAAAAUUAUUAUCACCAUUGGCUUUGACCAAUUGUGAUCUAUAUCAGAUCAAGGGUGGCAAAGUACAUUAUCAUUCUCAACAAAUGUGGGGAUCUAUUGGAAAGAAAGAAGGGAGAAAGGAUGUUGAGUAAGAAAUAAAAUUGCUUGUCCUACAGUCAUAAACAUAUAUCAGUGUUUAACUCACUCAUUGCCAAAAUCUGCAACCUGACAUACAGGCUUCAAUCUUCAAAUUCAAAGUACUUAUCUCACUGACAAGUCAAGCACAACAUCUUGGCAUGGAAAGAAAGGUGCUUCCUACUGAUUUCUGUGGGGUCCUUAAUAUUUAUCAUAAGAAUUGAGGCUAUAUGACAGCAAAACUUAAUUGAUGUUAUUUCCUUAUUUUUCUACCAUCAUUUGAAAAGAGCAAUAAGGUGCAGAUUAUUGGCUUUGCUGUAUAGUGCCCAGGUCAUUGUCAAUGGCUGUUAAUCGAGUUGACAGAACUUAAUGGGAAAUUCAUAGACACUGCAUAAAACAAAUCUGGGCUUGCAUCAGUUUCUUCUCUACCUUUCUACCUGAUCAUUGGUAGGUUACUCACCCUCUUUCUUCCUCAUUUUUCUUAUCUGUACAUGAGCAUAAUCAUCCCUAACUUGUACAGAGGCCUCAAGGUUGGAAUGGAUAAGGUAGAUAAGCAUUCAGGAUGCAUCCUGGUGUACUCUUGUGUUUCUCUCACUCAAAAUGGAACUUACCAUGUGAGCCAACCCAGAGCUAAGGAGAACUCCUGUCUCUCAUAGGAUUUCAGUGUUGGUUUUCGAUAUUUUCUGUAAGUGUACAGAUAAAUCCCUUCAUCUCCUAUGUUACAAAAACACUUUUCUUUUACUGAGAUAAAGAAUUGAUUGAAACCCUUCCAAGUUUAAAUCCAUAGUCCUAGAAAGUAGAAAACAGCCUUGACAAUUCUUAUAAUUUAGAGUUUGGAAGUUUAUAAAAACAUAUAUCUCAGUUGCCAGAGAUGAAGGAGGGGAAGUGAGUUACUGUAAAGGAGAAGGUGAGCAGUUUCUUAAAUUGCAGUCAUCUUUCCAGGCUGUGUAAGAUCUUUCUGUUCUGACAUCUUCAGCCCUCAUUAAAGCCACCAAUUUCUCCCUUCUCUCAUCUCUUUCUUUCUCUGAGCUUAUUUUAUAACCAAUCUAAUUUAUCAGGGUUUAAAUAAUUUAAUAUCUCUUAUUUGCUUCCUCAGUUUUAAAAAUGGGUAAUAAUAACACCUUUUUCAGUGAAUUCUGUGGGUCUAGGAGGGAAAUAAAUGAGGCAGAUAAUGUAGGUAAAAGUACCUAGCACAGUCCUGAAUUCAUUUUCAUUUCUUCGUGUGUGUGUGUGUGUGUGUGUGUGUGUGUGUUUGCUGACUACUUACUCAUCAUAACUUUUCAGAGUAAUUUUCAUCAUUCUUUGAAUAGUUUAGGGGUUGCUAUAAAUUUCCAACUUUUUUCAUUUUAUUCAUUAUAGUCUUUCAGAAAUCUUCCCAAGGGAUAUAAGGUAC